CAGCAGCCGCGGUAAUACGAAUGGUGCAAACGUUGUUCGGAAUCACUGGGCUUAAAGCGCACGUAGGCGGCUUGGCCAGUCAGGUGUGAAAUCCCUCAGCUCAACUGAGGAAUUGUGCUUGAUACUGCCAGGCUCGAGUAAGGUAGGGGGGCGUGGAACUUCGGGUGGAGCGGUGAAAUGCGUAGAUAUCCGAAAGAACGUCGGUGGUGAAAACGGCGCCCUGGGCCUUUACUGACGCUGAGGUGCGAAAGCUAGGGGAGCGAACGGGAUUAGAUACCCCGGUAGUCCUAGCCGUAAACGAUGGGUACAAGGUAGUGGAGGUUCCGAUGCCCCCUCUGCUGAAGCAAAAGUGAUAAGUACCCCGCCUGGGGAGUAUGGUCGCAAGGCUAAAACUCAAAGGAAUUGACGGGGGCUCACACAAGCGGUGGAGCAUGUGGCUUAAUUCGAGGCAACGCGAAGAACCUUAUCCUGGGCUUGACAUGCACGGAUUAGCCAUCUGAAAGGAUGGUGACGCUCUUUGAGUGGAACGUGCACAGGUGCUGCAUGGCUGUCGUCAGCUCGUGUCGUGAGAUGUUGGGUUAAGUCCCGUAACGAGCGAAACCCUUGCCCUUAGUUGCCAGCGGGUCAUGCCGGGGACUCUAAGGGGACUGCCGGUGUUAAACCGGAGGAAGGUGGGGAUGACGUCAAGUCAUCAUGGCCUUUAUGUCCAGGGCUGCACA
rnacentral:rRNA from 1 species